rnacentral:lncRNA from 1 species
CGCAGCAAACAGAGAAACGCGAACUCGGCAAUGAAAUCGAACAAAACUCAGACUCGAUUUACAAACCCAAAGCAAACACUACAACUUGAAAACGACUCGCUGAAGAUUCACAAACUCAGUGAUUAAAACAGGUUACUCGACUCAAAACAGAUGACAGCAGCAGAACAGAACUCAAAUUUGCUAAUAAUAUGAAACUAACAGAACUCGACCGUGACUCGGACACUCGGCGAAAGAACAGGGCAUAUGCAGGUGUGUCGAAACUCGAAAGAAAUAAAGCAGG